GAGUCAUUAGCUCAGUUGGUAGAGCACCUGACUUUUAAUCAGGGUCGCGUAUGGCGGAAUUGGCAGACGCACUA
rnacentral:tRNA from 1 species